GAGCAGAAGCUACGGAGAUUUCCUAUGGAAACCCUGCCCUCAGGGAUGCAUAGCCUGCCUGACUAUCAAAAUCCAGCACAAGAGUGGUCGUUAUGUUACAAUCAAUGAGCCUACAUGGACACAUCACUCUCACCCAAAGCCAUAAAUUUCGCUGUAAGCACUGCUUUCACUGUACCCCACAAAUUUUGGUGAUUGAUUAUGCUGUUGAGUUUGACUAUGUCCUUACUGAUGUUCUGUCUGCUGGAUCUGUCCAUUUAUGAUUGAAGAACGUCAAAAUCUUCAACUUAUUUUUGCAGUGAGAUGCCCUCCGCCUUAGACUUUGCAUUAUCUACCACUGCAUAAUAAAGUACUCCAAAAUAUAA
rnacentral:lncRNA from 10 species